UCAAGAGUUAGAUCUUUCUUACAACUUAUUCCAAGGGAUCCUUCCUCCAUGUUUGAAUAAUUUGACAUCUCUGAGGUUAUUGGAUCUCUCUUCCAACCUAUUCUCCGGAAAUCUUUCUUCCCCUUUGUUACCUAAUCUCACAUCCCUGGAGUACAUCGAUCUCAGUUACAAUCAGUUUGAGGGUUCAUUCUCUUUCAGCUCUUUUGCUAAUCACUCCAAGCUUCAAGUGGUCAUACUUGGAAGGGAUAACAACAAAUUUGAGGUACAAACCGAAUAUCCAGUUGGUUGGGUUCCCCUGUUUCUGUUGAAAGCUCUUGUCCUAUCCAACUGUAAGCUCAUCGGUGAUCCUGGUUUCCUUCGACACCAAUUAAGAUUAACCGUGGUUGAUCUCUCCCAUAAUAAUUAGUCUGGAAGUUUCCCCAUUUGGCUGCUUGAUAACAAUACAAGACUAGGAUCUCUAGUUCUGAGGAAUAACUCUUUAAUGGGUCAACUACUUCCCCUGAGACCUAAUAGUCGUAUCACUUUAUUGGAUAUCUCAGACAACCGAGUUCAUGGGGAACUUCAACAAAAUGUGGCCAACAUGAUUCCAAAUAUUGAGUUUCUAAAUUUAUCCAACAAUGGUUUUGAAGGUAUUCUCCCAUCCUCGAUAGCCGAAAUGAGUUCCUUACAGUCAUUAGAUUUGUCUGCUAAUAGUUUCUCAGCGGAAGUACCAAAACAAUCGCUUGCUGCAAAAUAUUUGUGGCUUCUGAAAUUAUCAAAUUAUAAAUUUCAUGGUGAAAUAUUUUCAAGGGACUUUAACUUGACUCAGUUAGGGUUUUUGCAUUUGGACAAUAAUCAGUUCCAGGGACCACUGUCAAAUGUAAUCUCCAGAAUCUCUAGGUUAUGGGUGUUGGAUAGGUAACAUGACCGAUUUGACUACACUGGUGUUGGGCAACAAUAGUUUUAAAGGCAAAUUACCACCUGAGAUUUCUCAAUUGUUGGGGAUGAUAUUUCUUGACGUUUCUCAAAACGCUCUUUCAGGAUCUCUUCCUUCUUUGAAGAGCCUGGAGUAUUUAGAGCAUCUACAUUUGCAAGGGAAAAUGUUUACAGGAUUGAUACCUAGAGAUUUUCUCAAUUCCUCAUAUCUAUUGACUUUGGAUAUCAGAGACAACAGGUUAUUUGGAAGUAUUCCCAAUUCAAUCUCUAGACUUUUAGAGCUAAGAGGAAACCUUUUAAGUGGUUUCAUUCCAUAUCAGCUUUGUCAUUUGACUAAAAUAAGCUUGAUGGAUCUUUCAAACAACAAUUUUUCUGGGUCAAUUCCCAGAUGCUUUGGUCAUGUCGGAUUUGGAGAUUUCAAAACUGAGCACAAUGUGUAUAUACUUAUGUUAGAUUCGUAUUCAGAAAGCAAUCCUUCUAUAUAUACGGGUUACUUAAUAAAAUAUUUAUUUUUCUCUACUGAACUCCCUGAUGAAGUAGAUGAAGUUGAGUUUGUUACCAAGAAUAGGUAUAGCUCCUACAGAGUAGAUAAAAAUAUUUGUUGGGAAUUUAGAUAUUUUUAUAGGACAAUAUACAAGUAUUCUAAUUUAUAAAAACAAUGCAUUUCUUUAGUUUGGUAUAAAAAAAAUGAAACGAUAGGUAUUGGUAAUUUUUUUUAAAGUAACAAACGUUUUAUUUUAUUUGUAUUUAAGAACAAUGUUUUUUCUUAUACUAGUUAUUUUCAUUUUCUUUUGACAGAUUUUGCAAGCUUAAGCAAUUUGGAGAUACUAGAUUUGAGUUAUAAUUCCUUAAGUGGGAUUAUUCCAUUAUCUAUAAGAUUGAUGCCUCAUCUCAAGUCUUUAUCCUUGGUCGGAAAUCACCUCAAUGGUUCUUUACAAAAUCAAGGUACAUAUGUUAUGAUUUGUUUGUUUCAUAUAGAUUAGAGAAGAUAAAUAUUGUAAAAAAAAAAAAAAGUUGUAGUUAAUGUAAGCUUGAAAUAAGUAUCUUGCCUUAUAAAUUAUAUAAGCAUGUGUUUGUUCUUAAUGAAUCUUUACAACAUUUAGAGUUACCAAUGUUUAUAAUUCAUAAAGACCUCAUUAACGGUGAAUAACAACUAAUUGUAAGUAAUUGUGGAAAUAGUAAGGAAAACAAAAUGAGGGAAAAGCAAGGAAUUAGGAAAUUAUUUUGUUCCCAUAAAAAAAAUGCUAAGGAAGAAAAAGGUAAAAGAAAGUUUUAAAAAAGUGUAUUUUUAAAAAAUUUAUUUCUCUUUCCUUUAAUUUUGCUAUGGACAACCAAACAAGAAAAUCAUUUUAUAAUUCCUUUUUAUUUUUUUCGUUCUCUCUCUCUUUUUUUCCCUACUCUAUUUCUUUUCCCUCAAACUUUCUUGGUAGUAAACACAACCUAAGAUAAAUGGGGAAGAAAAUUUUCAGUUUUUUUUUUAUUUUUUUAGAAUGUUUUCUUACUUUUUAGUAUUUUAUGCAAAUAUAGGAAAAUUAUUUUCUUUUUUCUUUUUUUUUCUUGCUCCUUUUCAAACAUGAAUCACACUUUAAAAGAAAAUUAAUUUUUAAUUAGGAGUUAAGAUAAAUUUAAGGAGAAACAAUGAAUCACAGACAACAAAAAAUUAAGGAAAUUGAAUUUUUGAAAGUAAGUAUAAUCAAAUUGCUUCUUUUGAUACAAAAUUUGAAUAAAAAUUCUUUCAAUGAAAAUUCAAGGAAAGGAAAAAACAUUUUUGUCUCUAGAUUAUAAUACUAAAUUAUGUAAAAAAUCUCCUAGCAUCAUUUAUAUUCAUAUUUCUUUUUAUAGAUUUGAAAAAUUCAACAAUUUGGAAUAAACUUAUUCAAUGAAGAAUAAUUUUUAGAUUUAAAGAUUAUUAUUUAAGAUCAUAAAUAUUACCAUCAUUGUUGAUGUCUAAGAAGAUCAUAUUCAACAAUUUUUUUAAUAUGUUGUUUUUUUAUGGUAAUUAAUUGAUGUCUUGUAAUUUUUAAUAUUUAAUGAAAAACAUUAUUUUAAUUCAUCUAGAGCUCUUAAUUCAUGAAGACCUCAUUAAUGGUAAGUAAUAGCUGAAUGUAAGUUUGGAGUCAAAGACAUGUCAAGGAGAUGAUUAGUUACAUGUCUUAUUCUCUUUUGUAGGUUUCUGCCAAUUGAAUAAGCUUCAAGAGUUAGAUCUUUCUUACAACUUAUUCCAAGGGAUCCUUCCUCCAUGUUUGAAUAAUUUGACAUCUCUGAGGUUAUUGGAUCUCUCUGCCAACCUAUUCUCCGGAAAUCUUUCUUCCCCUUUAUUACCUAAUCUCACAUCCCUGGAGUACAUCGAUCUCAGUUACAAUCAGUUUGAGGGUUCAUUCUCUUUCAGCUCUUUUGCUAAUCACUCCAAGCUUCAAGUGGU
rnacentral:lncRNA from 1 species